UACGGAGGGUGCGAGCGUUGUCCGGAAUCACUGGGCGUAAAGGGCGCGUAGGCGGCCGAGCAAGGUCGCGGUGAAAGCCCGGGGCUCAACCCCGGGUCGGCCGUGGCAACUACUUGGCUCGAGCACUGUAGGGGCGGGUGGAAUUCCGGGUGUAGCGGUGGAAUGCGUAGAGAUCCGGAAGAACACCGGUGGCGAAGGCGACAUCCUGGACCGGUAUUGACGCUGAGGCGCGAAAGCCAGGGGAGCAAACGGG
rnacentral:rRNA from 1 species